AACGAGGCCGACCUGCGGCUGAGUUACCUGCGGAGGGAUCAUUACUGUUAUUCAUUAUAAACACCCAGAGUUCUUUGAACUCUUUGUGUGUUUGCAAACAAAAACACCCUAGAAAACAGCUUUUUAGUGUCUGACAGUUAGCUAGAUUAACUAGUUUAAUACAAAAACAACUUUCAACAACGGAUCU
rnacentral:misc_RNA from 1 species